rnacentral:tRNA from 1 species
GGAGGGUAAGCGAAUGGCUAGCGGCCUGACUCGAAAUCAGGUGCCCCUUACGGGGUUGAGGGUUCGAAUCCCUUGCCCUCCG